GAAAACGACUGCUAAGACUGGAUAGGAAAUAAAAAGGCAUCUUUUUAUUUUUAAAAGACCUAGCAAUAGGUAUGCUUAGGGAAGAGCUUGCGUCACAUUAGUUAGUUGGUGGGGUAAUGGCCUACCAAGACGAUGAUGUGUAGCCGGGCUGAGAGGUCGAACGGCCACAUUGGGACUGAGACACGGCCCAAACUCCUACGGGAGGCAGCAGUAAGGAAUUUUCGGCAAUGGAGGAAACUCUGACCGAGCAAUGCCGCGUGAACGAUGAAGUAUUUCGGUACGUAAAGUUCUUUUAUUAGGGAAGAAAAGAUGGUGGAAAAACCAUUAUGACGGUACCUAAUGAAUAAGCCCCGGCUAACUAUGUGCCAGCAGCCGCGGUAAUACAUAGGGGGCAAGCGUUAUCCGGAAUUAUUGGGCGUAAAGGGUGCGUAGGCGGUUAAAUAAGUUUAUGGUCUAAGUGCAACGCUCAACGUUGUGAUGCUAUAAAAACUGUUUAGCUAGAGUUGGAUAGAGGCAAGUGGAAUUCCGUGUGUAGGGGUAAAAUGCGUAAAUAUACGGAGGAACACCAGAAGCGAAGGCGGCUUGCUGGGUCUUAACUGACGCUGAGGCACGAAAGCGUGGGGAGCAAACAGGAUUAGAUACCCUGGUAGUCCACGCCCUAAACGAUGAGUACUAAACGUUGGAUAAAACCAGUGUUGAAGUUAACACAUUAAGUACUCCGCCUGAGUAGUACGUACGCAAGUAUGAAACUUAAAGGAAUUGACGGGACUCCGCACAAGCGGUGGAUCAUGUUGUUUAAUUCGAAGGUACCCGAAAAACCUCACCAGGUCUUGACAUGCUUUUGCAAAGCUGUAGAAAUACAGUGGAGGUUAUCAGAAGCACAGGUGGUGCAUGGUUGUCGUCAGCUCGUGUCGUGAGAUGUUGGGUUAAGUCCCGCAACGAGCGCAACCCUUGUUGUUAAUUGCCAUCAUUAAGUUGGGGACUUUAGCAAGACUGCCAAUGAUAAAUUGGAGGAAGGUGGGGACGACGUCAAAUCAUCAUGCCCCUUAUGACCUGGGCUACAAACGUGAUACAAUGGCUGUUACAAAGGGUAGCUAAAGCGUAAGCUUCUGGCGAAUCUCAAAAAAGCAGUCUCAGUUCGGAUUGAAGUCUGCAACUCGACUUCAUGAAGUUGGAAUCGCUAGUAAUCGCGAAUCAGCAUGUCGCGGUGAAUACGUUCUCGGGGUUUGUACACACCGCCCGUCA
rnacentral:rRNA from 1 species